rnacentral:lncRNA from 1 species
AGAUCCACACAGCAGCUUGAUUAGCAGUGCUUGUCAGGGGUGGGUGGAGCAGGAAGAAUGCUGUGUCUAGGCUGGGGUGGGGGGAUAGGAGGAGAAUGUCAGCUGUAGGAGCCAAGGGGACUGGCAAGGAGCUGUGCAACCACGCAGGAAAAGCAUCUGGAUCCUCCCUUGAGCUACCCAACUUUAUAUUAAAGACAGGUCCUUGCUCUGUUGCCCAGGCUGCUGUGCAGUGGCAUGACCAUAGUUCACUGCAACCUCAAACUCCUGAGCUUCAGCGAUCCUCCCACCUCAGCCUCCCAAGUAGUCCCAUAGUCCCAGCCCCUGAGCUGGGACUACAGGCUGAUAUGAUCUGAAAAUGCUACGGAGAUUAUGAGAAAGAAAAUGGGGUUUUAUGGUGAAAUAAACUAGGGAAAUGAUGCUUUCCAUAAAUACAUAAUGCUUCUUUACCGUGAAUUCUCAGCCCUUUAAUACACUAAGGUGAACUGUGAAUCUUCUAGUGUGGGAGGUAUACGCAGCAUUUUCCAAAUUUAUC